rnacentral:lncRNA from 1 species
CGGAGGCGGUAAAAUCUUUAUGGUGUGGAGCCUCCUGAGAGGUGCAUCAUAGUCAUGAAGUGAGUUAAUUCUCCUGAGAGUAAGGCAUUACAAAACAAGACCACACCAUACACGUCGUCCCUUCUGGGAUGAUGUUUCUGUUUCUGCUGCUUUCUCUGCCAUGUUGUGAGGUGCCAGAGGCUGAACAGAAGCCAAGGCCACAGCUGUGCCUUCUGUGUGAUGAGUCGUGCCCCUUGCUUGUCAUCCUGACUCCACAAUCAUGACAAACUUUGAAGAUGCGCCUGAGGGAGAGCUCUGCAUGUGGGCAGCCUAGAGACCCGAAGCGAGUGUGUUGCUCCAUCACCAACUCCUGGCUCACCCUGGCCUUUCAAAUGCAGCUUGGCUUACAGUGACUCACAUAUGCUACAUCUCCUUACUUCCUUACUUCUAAACAGAGGAACUGAGCAUGAAGAAAAAAUGGUGCUGAGAGAGCAGCCAGCUCUCGGGAUGUUAGUCAACUUCAGAUGUGGGAAAAGCACCUUAAACAAAUUUUAGAGGAAGGUUUGGCUACUGAAGACAUGGCUCUGGAGUUAAGCACACUGCUGCUCUUGCGAAGGACCCAGGCUUGGUCCCUGCACUCACAUGGUGGCUCACAGCUCUCUCUACAUCAAGUUCCAGGAGCUAUGACCCCCUCUUCUAAACUCCAUGGGCACCGGGCACUCAUAUAUAUAGGCAGCAAAAAUACUCAUACGCAUACAAUACAUAUUGAAAAAAAUAAAUAAAAGGUUUAUUUUGGCUU